GGCGCGGACGAGCGGCGAACGGGCGAGUAAACACGUCGAGUCACCCGCCCCUCUUCUUCCGGAUAAACUCGCAUCGAAAGCGCGGCUAAUCCGGGAUAAUUCCGCGCCCGCCGCACGGCGGGCGCGGGAAAGACUCGCGCCUUCGGGCGUUUUCGGUCGGGGGAACGGGCUUCGCGGCCUAUCAGCUUCGUUGGUGGGGCGAUGGCUCUACCAAGGCGGUGACGGGUAGCCGGCUCUGAGAGGGUCGGACGGUCACACUGGGAACUGAGAACACGGCCCAGAACUCCUACGGGAGGCAGCAGUUGGGGAAUAUUUGCACAAUGGGCGCAAGCCUGAUGCAGCGACCCUCCCGUGAGGGAUGGAGGCCUUCGGGUUUGUGAACCUCUUUUCCCAGUUGAAGCAGGCCUGCUCCUUGUGGGUGGGUUUGACGGUAGCUGGAUAAGAAGCCCCGGCUAACUACGUGCCAGCAGCCGCGGUAAUACGUAGGGCGCGAGCGUUGUCCGGAAUUAUUGGGCGUAAAGAGCUCGUAGGCGGCUGGUCGCGUCUGUCGUGAAAUCCUCUGGCUUAACUGGGGGCUUGCGGUGGGUACGGGCCGGCUUGAGUGCGGUAGGGGAGACUGGAACUCCUGGUGUAGCGGUGGAAUGCGCAGAUAUCAGGAAGAACACCGGUGGCGAAGGCGGGUCUCUGGGCCGUUACUGACGCUGAGGAGCGAAAGCGUGGGGAGCGAACAGGAUUAGAUACCCUGGUAGUCCACGCCGUAAACGUUGGGCACUAGGUGUGGGGGGCCUUUUCCGGGUCUUCCGCGCCGUAGCUAACGCAUUAAGUGCCCCGCCUGGGGAGUACGGCCGCAAGGCUAAAACUCAAAGGAAUUGACGGGGGCCCGCACAAGCGGCGGAGCAUGCGGAUUAAUUCGAUGCAACGCGAAGAACCUUACCAAGGCUUGACAUGUGCCGGUCGGCUCCGGAGACGGGGUUUCCUCCUUGUGGGGCCGGUUCACAGGUGGUGCAUGGUUGUCGUCAGCUCGUGUCGUGAGAUGUUGGGUUAAGUCCCGCAACGAGCGCAACCCUUGUCCCGUGUUGCCAGCACGUUGUGGUGGGGACUCGCGGGAGACUGCCGGGGUCAACUCGGAGGAAGGUGGGGAUGACGUCAAAUCAUCAUGCCCCUUAUGUCUUGAGCUUCACGCAUGCUACAAUGGCCGGUACAGAGGGCUGCGAUACCGUGAGGUGGAGCGAAUCCCUUAAAGCCGGUCUCAGUUCGGAAUCGGUGUCUGCGAACUCGACGCCGUGAAAGUUGGAGUCGCUAGUGAAUCGCGG
rnacentral:rRNA from 1 species